rnacentral:rRNA from 1 species
UACGUAGGUGGCAAGCGUUUGUUCGGAUUUACUGGGCGUAAAGCGCGCGUAGGCGGACGUUUAAGUCAGGGGUGAAUCCCAGGCUCAACCCUGGAACGGCCUUUGAUACUGGACGUUCUGGAGAUCGGGAGAGGUUGGUGGAAUUCCGAGUGUAGAGGUGAAAUUCGUAGAUAUUCGGAGGAACACCAGAAGCGAAGGCGGCUCACUGGCCCGGUACUGACGACUGAGGUGGCGAAAGCGUGGGGAGCAAACGGGG